UCCUCUCAAAUAGCUAAAAGUCCAGACCAGUUAAAUCCAUUCUUCUAAUUUUCCAUUUUUCCAACUGAUUAACUAAAAGAUGUGUGCAUUUUGCUGAUGCUCAUACAGAAAAUGACUACUUUCCAUGGCCUCAGAGGCCUCUGGCCUUAGGAAAAGCCAGGAGAUGAGGUCAUUCCUUGGGCACCAUAAAGACAUGGGAAAAGUCAAAAUUAGAGGCAUCCUGCAAAAGUAAAUGUAAAUAUGUCUAUCAUAUCUUUACAAUUUGUAGAGUGUUCUUAGUAUUUCUCAAGUUAUUUAAUAAACCAGUUUGCUGACUGCAAAGAAAGGAAAUAUGUAAUUUGUCUAGUGGAUAUGCCAGCUGUAUUUUAAUUUUGCAAAGUGUACAUUUCCACACAUUUGUACUUAAAUAAAUGUAUUAGAAUACCACAGUAUUAUAAUAUUAAAUUACCUGUGAAUUAAGACUUGUUCAGAGGUCUCUAGGGAAGAUACAUAACUGAAAGACAUAAAUUCAGAAGCCUACCUAUUCACAGUCCUAGAGGCAAGCUUUGACCAUCUCCCAAGAAGUCUCACAGGGUAGUACUUAUUGCUUUGGUGAAUUUACCAAAGUUCAAGGUCUAGACUUUGACCCUGCAGGCUCAGAAAUCAGGCUUCGGGAGUUCCUGUCAUGGCGCAGCAGAAGCAAAUCCAACUAGGAACCAUGAGGUGGCAGGUUUGAUCCCUGGCCUUGCUCAGCCGUGAGCUGUGGUAUAAGGUCUCAGACACAGCUCUAAUCUGGCAUUGCUGUGGCUGUGGCACAGGCUGGCAGCUACAGCUCCAAUUAGACCCCUAGUCUGGGAACCUCCAUACACCAUGGGUGCGGCCCUCAAAAAGACAAAAGACAAAAAAAAGAAAGAAAGAAAUCAGGCUUUGACAACACUUAAAGCACAGGUCCAUUUCUGAGUACCACACGGCCUCCACCUCCUCCUCACUCACUAGACUCCAGUACCCUCAGCUUUCUUGUUAAUUCUCCCACAUGCCGUGCCUCAGGGCCUUGGCAUGUGUGCUCUCCAAGUGCUCAUGUGCUUCACAUCCUCGCGGCUUUCCUGUCUCUGCCUAACUGUCCAUACCCGAGGCCAGCCCUCCAUGUUCUAUAUAAUACAACAGCCCCUUCUCUCUUCAUACCAUGUAGGAUCCCCAAAUACAACAAAUAAAAACAUAGAUGCCCAGUUAAAUGAAUGUCAGAGAAAUAAAAAAAAUAGCAUAUAUAUUUCUGACACAAUAUAUGGAACCUACUUAUACCAAAAUUUUUUCAUUAUUUACCCCAAUUUCAAACUUAACUGGGUGACUGGUUUUUCACCUGGCAGCCUUACCAACAUGCUCAUACCUUUGGAAGCCAGAUAGGAUGGUAGCUUGGACGAAAAAGGUGAUAGGGAAGAGGGCAAAGGGGGAAAGAAUUGAAAUAUAAGAAUCAACAGGGAGUUCCCGUCUGGCUCAGUGGUUAACAAAUCCGACUAGGAACCAUGAGGUUUCGGGUUCGAUCCCUGGCCUUGCUCAAUGGGUUAAGGAUCUGGCGUUGCCGUGAGCUGUAGUGUAGGUUGCAGAUGUGGCUCGGAUCCUGCAUUGCUGUGGCUCUGGUGUAGGCCGGCAGCUACAGCUCCGAUUGGACCCCUGGCCUGGAAACCUCCAUAUCCCGCGGGAGUGGCCCAAGAAAUGGCAAAAAAAAAGAAAAGAAAAGAAAAAAAAGAAAAAAAUCAACAGGACGUGAUAAUGGCUUGAAUGGAAGGAGGAGGGACAGUUGGCUUGCUCAGCUGGAUGGAAGUUUACUUCACUGAAAUGAAUACCCUUGGAGGAAGAAAAGGAAGUUUGAACAAGGAAUAAAUUCAUCUGCAGUGGAAGAGAGAAGGCGUUAGAAAUGUUAAGUUUGAGGUGCUGUUAAGAAAUGUGGGUAUGAAACGCAAAAGAGUCAGGCUGUGAGUAAACGUGGGAGUGCCUGACAAAGAAAUCAUACUUAAAACCACAGAGAUGGGUGGGAUUACAUAGGGAGUGAGGCCAGAAGCGAAAAAGGACAAUGGCUAUCUCCUGAGUGACAGCAACGUUUCUCUCUCUUGUCCAUUUUUCCUGCUUUAUUUUUUCUAUUUCUUCAUAUCUUCAGAAGUAUGCACAAUAUAUUGCAGAACAGUUAAAUCUGUCCAGUUCUACAGCCAUUCUAUUUAUCACUCUUCUUUUUUUUCACUGAAGUGUAGUUGAUAUAAAAUAUUAUGUAAGUUGCAGGUGGGCAACAUAAUGAUUCACAAUUUUUUAAAGUUAUACUCCAUUUAUAGUUAUUAUAAAAUAUUGACUACAUGUCCCUGUGUUGUACAACAUAUCCUUGAAGCUUAUUUUUUAUAUAACAGUUUAUACCUCUUAAUCCCCUACUCUACAUUACUCCUCCCUGCUUCCCUCCCCCCCACUAGUAACCACUAGUUUAUUCUAUCUGUGAGUCAGUUUCUUUUUUUGUUAUAUUUUCUAGUUUGUUUUAUUUUUUUAUUCCACACAUAAGUGCUAAUAUAUAUAUAUUUCUUUCUCUGACUUACUUCACUUAGCACAAUACCCUCUAAAUCUGUCCCUGUUGUUGCAAAUGGUAAAUUUUCAUUUUUUUUAUGGAUGAGUAUAAUUCUUUGUACAUAUAUAUAUAUAUACACACAUAUACAUACGUGUGUAUAUAUAUAUACAUACACAUGUAUGUAUAUGCACCAUAUCUUCUUUAUCCAUUCAUCUGUUGAUGGACACUUAGGUUGCUUCCAUAUCUUAGCUGCUGUAAAUAGUGCUGCUAUGAACAUUUGGGGCGCAUGCAUCUUUUUGAAUUAGUGUUUUGGGGGUUUUUGAAUAUAUACCCAGAGCGGAAUUUCUAGGUCAUGUGGUAGUUUUUAGUUUUUUGAGGAGCCUCCAUACUUCUUUCCACAGUGGCUGCACCAAUUUACAUUGCCAUCAACAGUGUAGGAGGAUUCACUUUUCUCCACAUCCUCGCCAACAUUUGUUACAUGUGGUAUGUUUGAUGAUCGCCACUCUGACAGGUAUCACUCUUGUUUGCUAACAUACAUUAAGGAAAAUUGUUUUUUUACCUUUAGGGACAAAACUCAUGACAGAACAUUUGUCUCAAGAUCGGUGUUGGGGAAGACAAAGAGAAGUAAUUUACCACAGACAUAGAACUACUUUGUUUUCUUUUCAUAAAUGGAUCAAAAUAAAAGCCUUCAGGUGUUUUGCAUUUUUGUAAAGGCUGAAAGACUUCCUGUUCACAGAGGCCUUUCAUUUAAUUGCUACUAGUUGCCCUUAGGACCCCUGUACACUUCAUACUUUGCUAAUACCUCUGAUAAAGGAUUAUAGGGUAUCCUAGGUUGGGAGAAAAACAAUGCUUAACAAAAGAGGUAAAGAACAUAUAGCCGCCAAAAUAUGGAAAAGUGACCAACGAGAAAAAAAAAUAGGAACACAGAUCUUUUAACAAAGAACUAACGAGAGGUCACAGAAACAUAAUUGCUUAUUUAUAUAUAUAUAUAUAUAAAGCUAUUCCUCCUUUGGAGAAUACCUACGUAGGAGCUAUACUUUUUAUUUAAUAAUUGUGAUGCUAGGAGUUCUGUCGUGGCACAGUGGUUAAUGAAUCCGACUAGGAAACAUGGCCUUGCUCAGUGGGUUAAGGAUCCGGCAUUGCCCUGAGCUGUGGUGUAGGUUGCAGAAGCGGCUCAGAUCCCACGUUGCUGUGGCUCUGGUGUAGGCUGGUGGCUACAGCUCUGAUUAGACCCCUAGCCUGGGAAACUCCGUAUGCCGCUGGAGCGGCCCAAGAAACAGCAAAAAGACAAAAAAAAAAAAAAAAAAUUUGUGAUGCUUUCCUGCACCUAAAAAUGUUGGAGUUAUAAAGUACAUCUGUCAGUAGUAGGACUCUUAUAUGGUACCAUAGUGAACAUGAAGAAUUUUUCACGACACAAAAUAAAAUUCUCUACAUGAUAGUGUACCUUCUAUUCUGAGUUUAAGAGUGCAGUGUGGGUCAAUAGGUAAAAGCCAAAUUUCAGAAAAAUAGUUUUUCCUUGCAAUCAAUAGAAAACUAGUUUAAAAGGAUGUAUAAUUUGGGGCUUAAGUUUAUAAUCAAUUUCAUCAUACACUUGACCUAAAGAUUUACCAUAAGCUGAAGGGAUGGCAUUCUGUCACCUCUUUUUAUUGAGUCUGGCUUUUUUUGCUACAAGUCAUUACCUUGUUUUCUGUCUUUAUUACUUUUGGUGAUAACUCAGUACUUUUGCCUUAAAUUAAGCAAAGUGGAGAAGAGGAACCAUUAUGAUACAUAAGCUUCUGUCCUAGAAGAAGGUUUUAAGAAACUGAUGAAAGCAAGUCUUGAGACAAUCUUUAUGAUUUAUAUUUGUAUUAAUAUAACUCUCUUCCCCUCCUGCUUUGACAACUGAGCUGAACUGGCCACAUUCAGAUUGUUUAUCUGCAGUGUAAAAAUAUGCAAAUAUGCCCUAUAUCAUAAUAUCAACAUAACAGUCAAAUUGAUGAAAGAAUAUGUAACUACAAAUUCUAAAUAGCUUCAAGAGUUUAACAGUCAAGGUGUUAUUGAAUCCCUCCACAUUACUCUUGAAUUCUGUCCCAACUGGGCCAGGAUUGCAAGUAAUCGUUAAGCAUGCCAUGGAGUUAAGUAAAGCGAUUAAAAGACUCAACUUAUCCUUCGUAUAUUUAAGUUUAACAGCAGACUGUUGACAACUUCACAGACUCCAGAGUUGAAACCCUAGCCUCUCCCUCUGAUUUGUUAUAUUUUAUUUUUAGCUGUACUCACUUCCCUCCGGUUAACGGUUAGUGACCACACGCGCAGGUCUGCACAUGAGGAAACUAAAAAGGGAAAUUGCGCUGUGAAUCAGACACACAAGAAACAUGAAGAGCCCUAUCAGGCCAUGCCCGGCAUGUCAUACUCUCCAACAGUCCUUAUGACAGUGCUGCACAGAAAUUUUCAAUUAAUGCAAAUGAUACCUGAAGUCAAGCCAUUUCCCUGGCACC
rnacentral:lncRNA from 1 species